rnacentral:rRNA from 1 species
CCCUUCUUGGUCAUUUAGAGGAAGUAAAAGUCGUAACAAGGUUUCCUAGGUGAACCUGCGGAAGGAUCAUUAAUAGAGUUCGUGCCCUCCCGGGUGAUCUCCCACCCUUGAAUACAUUACCUUUGUUGCUUUGGCAGGCUGCCUUUUGGCGUUGGCCUCGGCUAGCUAUGCCUGCCAGAGGACCCGAAACUCUUUAUUUAGUGAUGUCUGAGUACUAUAUAAUAGUUAAAACUUUCAACAACGAUCUCUUGGUUCUGGCAUCGAUGAAGAACGCAGCGAAAUGCGAUAAGUAUGUGAAUUGCAGAAUUCAGUGAAUCAUCGAAUCUUUGAACGCACAUUGGCCCCUUGGUAUUCCGAGGGGCAUGCCUGUUCGAGCGUCAUUAUGACCAUCAAGCCUGGCUUGGUGUUGGGGCCCGCGGUUACGCGGCCCCUAAAAUCAUGGCGGUGCCACCUGGCUCUAAGCGUAGUAAUUCUUCUCGCUAUAGGGCCUGGUAGGAUGCUUGCUAAUAACCCCCAAUCUCACGGUUGACCUCGGACAGGUAGGGAUACCCGCUGAACUUAAGCAUAUCAAUAAGCGGAGG